UUAACUCAUAUUUGUAUGGAAUCGGAUCGUUUGCCUACGUUUGCCGCUAGGGGCGCUGUUCCAACUGCAUCAUACAAAAUUGGCUUA
rnacentral:pre_miRNA from 1 species